AACAAUAUAGGAAAAUAGAGGACUUUGUAAAAUUGUACUAACGAGGUUUUACUGUGAUCGGAGAAAAGCUUUGUUUUUGUUAGGGUUUAAGGAACCGCCGUAAACAAGGAAGUGGCAGAACAAAACCUUAGAACGUUCGUAAAUUUAUU